rnacentral:rRNA from 1 species
UCCUACGGGGGAGCAGCAGUAGGGAAUCUUCCGCAAUGGACGAAAGUCUGACGGAGCAACGCCGCGUGAGUGAUGAAGGCUUUCGGGUCGUAAAACUCUGUUGUUAGGGAAGAACAAGUGCUAGUUGAAUAAGCUGGCACCUUGACGGUACCUAACCAGAAAGCCACGGCUAACUACGUGCCAGCAGCCGCGGUAAUACGUAGGUGGCAAGCGUUAUCCGGAAUUAUUGGGCGUAAAGCGCGCGCAGGUGGUUUCUUAAGUCUGAUGUGAAAGCCCACGGCUCAACCGUGGAGGGUCAUUGGAAACUGGGAGACUUGAGUGCAGAAGAGGAAAGUGGAAUUCCAUGUGUAGCGGUGAAAUGCGUAGAGAUAUGGAGGAACACCAGUGGCGAAGGCGACUUUCUGGUCUGUAACUGACACUGAGGCGCGAAAGCGUGGGGAGCAAACAGGAUUAGAUACCCUGGUAGUCCACGCCGUAAACGAUGAGUGCUAAGUGUUAGAGGGUUUCCGCCCUUUAGUGCUGAAGUUAACGCAUUAAGCACUCCGCCUGGAGACGAAUGAUUGA